CUUUCCGGUGAGGGAACCUCUCUCCAGACAUGAUCAAGAGAAACUGGCGAGGGACUGACAUGAUCUAGCUUACCUUGGGUCACCGAACGGAUUUGGUUUGUUUGUUCUUUCUCUACCCCAAGAAAAAGUCGCUAGCUACUGCAAGGUUUUGUUUUCAAACAAGGAACAGCAUGCCAAAAGAAAGUGCUGCGCCUACCUGAUGAGCAAGGGAAUAAUAUUCUUCUAGAAAACUUCUUGUAGUAGUAUCAAGUCUCCCCUUGAUUCUGAUAAACAUUGCGCGCGAAGUUUACACUUUAAGGAGGAGGCCGUUUCCCCCUUCUGAAAAGGCAUGUGACAUAAUUAUCCCAGCGAUCACUAAAACUGUAAAUUUGGAUGCAAUUAAGAGAGAAAACUCCACACAUUUAUGGAAAUUUAAGUGAUGGAAUGUAAUCCAGAAUGUACUUUUUUAUUUCUGAAAUCUCUGUAAAACAGUACAAUGGAAAAAUGAAAACGAAAGACAUAAUUGAGGAAAUCCAACAUCCCACAAAAAGGAAUUCUAGAAAGAUUUGCAGCUUGCUGGCUUGCUGAGUGGAAAAUGAUUCUUUCCCAGUUCUCCUUGGUUUCUUCCUUUCAUGAAUUGAUUAACACUGAGAGAUUAUGUUUUAAUUAUGUCGACUAGAGGUUUUAAAUGAUUCUAGGUUUCUGUGUCCAUUUGUUUUCCUAGGUUUGGGGAAUUUGCUACUGCAAUAUCGUUGUAUAGAUAUUCUUUGCUUUAGUGAGAAACUCAGCUCCUUCUACUCUGUGGUUCUUAGCUUUAGUCUAUUGUACACAUCACAGAGUUAAUGAAAGCUGUGGUCAUACUUGAUUUUUUCUUCAUUACUAUUGAAAUAAAGCAUAUCCUUGACCUUGUCUCCAAUCUCUAUUUUCAAGUCUGUUGGGGAUACAUUCCACUAUUGUUUGAUUGAAAUAUCCAUUUCCAACAUUUCUAUUACUUUGCUUCUUUUUUUUUUGUCCCCACCAAAAAUAAAUAUUUAUAGAAUUGUAAAUCAAAAUGAAACAUUUUUCUGUAUGUAUAAAAACAAAAGGAAACAAACAAAUAAAAAAAUCUGCAUAUUGA
rnacentral:lncRNA from 1 species